rnacentral:rRNA from 1 species
AGGACGAACGCUGGCGGCGUGCUUAACACAUGCAAGUCGAGCGAGGCUCCUCCUUCGGGAGGAUGCCCUAGCGGCGAACGGGUGAGUAACACGUGGGCAACCUGCCCCUAGCACUGGGAUAACCCCGGGAAACCGGGGCUAAUACCGGAUACGACUUCGGAAGGCAUCUUCUGAAGUGGAAAAGGUUACUGGCUAGGGAUGGGCCCGCGGCCUAUCAGCUUGUUGGUGGGGUAAUGGCCCACCAAGGCGACGACGGGUAGCCGGCCUGAGAGGGCGACCGGCCACACUGGGACUGAGACACGGCCCAGACUCCUACGGGAGGCAGCAGUGGGGAAUAUUGCACAAUGGGCGAAAGCCUGAUGCAGCGACGCCGCGUGAGGGAUGACGGCCUUCGGGUUGUAAACCUCUUUCAGCAGGACGAAGCGAAAGUGACGGUACCUGCAGAAGAAGCACCGGCCAACUACGCGCCAGCAGCCGC